rnacentral:rRNA from 1 species
GAAUUCACUAGUGAUUUGGCGGCGUGGUUAAGACAUGCAAGUCGAACGAGAGAAUUGCUAGCUUGCUAAUAAUUCUCUAGUGGCGCACGGGUGAGUAACACGUGAGUAACCUGCCCCCGAGAGCGGGAUAGCCCUGGGAAACUGGGAUUAAUACCGCAUAGUAUCGAAAGAUUAAAGCAGCAAUGCGCUUGGGGAUGGGCUCGCGGCCUAUUAGUUAGUUGGUGAGGUAACGGCUCACCAAGGCGAUGACGGGUAGCCGGUCUGAGAGGAUGUCCGGCCACACUGGAACUGAGACACGGUCCAGACACCUACGGGUGGCAGCAGUCGAGAAUCAUUCACAAUGGGGGAAACCCUGAUGGUGCGACGCCGCGUGGGGGAAUGAAGGUCUUCGGAUUGUAAACUCCUGUCAUGUGGGAGCAAAUUAAAAAGAUAGUACCACAAGAGGAAGAGACGGCUAACUCUGUGCCAGCAGCCGCGGUAAUACAGAGGUCUCAAGCGUUGUUCGGAAUCACUGGGCGUAAAGCGUGCGUAGGCUGUUUCGUAAGUCGUGUGUGAAAGGCGCGGGCUCAACCCGCGGACGGCACAUGAUACUGCGAGACUAGAGUAAUGGAGGGGGAACCGGAAUUCUCGGUGUAGCAA